UACGUAGGCAGCGAGCGUUGUUCGGAGUUACUGGGCGUAAAGGGUGUGUAGGCGGUUCUUUAAGUUUGGUGUGAAAUCUCCCGGCUCAACCGGGAGGGUGCGCCGAAUACUGAGGGACUAGAGUAUGGGAUGGGAAAGUGGAAUUCCUGGUGUAGCGGUGAAAUGCGUAGAUAUCAGGAGGAACACCUGUGGUGUAGACGGCUUUCUGGACCAUAACUGACGCUGAGGCGCGACAGCGUGGGGAGCAAACAGG
rnacentral:rRNA from 1 species